rnacentral:rRNA from 1 species
AGAAUCAACGCUGGCGGCGUGCCUAACACAUGCAAGUCGCACGAGAAAGGGUCUUCGGAUCUGAGUAAAGUGGCGCACGGGUGAGUAACACGUGAAUCAUCUACCUUCGAGUGUGGAAUAACUGAGAGAAAUCUUAGCUAAUACCGCAUAAUACCUACGGGUCAAAGCAGCAAUGCGCUUGAAGAGGAGUUCGCGGCAGAUUAGCUAGUUGGCGGGGUAAUGGCCCACCAAGGCGAUGAUCUGUA